rnacentral:rRNA from 1 species
GACGUAGGGGCGAGCGUUGUCCGGAAUUACUGGGCGUAAAGAGCACGUAGGCGGGAACCUAAGUCAGGUGUGAAAGACCGUGGCUCAACCACGGGGUGGCAUUUGAAACUGGGUUUCUUGAGGGCAGGAGAGGAAAGCAGAAUUCCUGGUGUAGCGGUGAAAUGCGUAGAAAUCAGGAGGAAUACCAGUGGCGAAGGCGGCUUUCUGGACUGACCCUGACGCUGAGGUGCGAAAGCGUGGGUAGCAAACAGGAUUAGAUACCCCGGUAGUCCCUGAGCGGGCU